rnacentral:rRNA from 1 species
CUUACCAUGGCAAGUCGAACGAUGAACCGCUUUCGGGCGGGGAUUAGUGGCGAACGGGUGAGUAACACGUGGGCAAUCUGCCCUGCACUCUGGGACAAGCCCUGGAAACGGGGUCUAAUACCGGAUAUGACUGUCCAUCGCAUGGUGGAUGGUGUAAAGCUCCGGCGGUGCAGGAUGAGCCCGCGGCCUAUCAGCUUGUUGGUGAGGUAGUGGCUCACCAAGGCGACGACGGGUAGCCGGCCUGAGAGGGCGACCGGCCACACUGGGACUGAGACACGGCCCAGACUCCUACGGGAGGCAGCAGUGGGGAAUAUUGCACAAUGGGCGAAAGCCUGAUGCAGCGACGCCGCGUGAGGGAUGACGGCCUUCGGGUUGUAAACCUCUUUCAGCAGGGAAGAAGCGAAAGUGACGGUACCUGCAGAAGAAGCGCCGGCUAACUACGUGCCAGCAGCCGCGGUAAUACGUAGGGCGCAAGCGUUGUCCGGAAUUAUUGGGCGUAAAGAGCUCGUAGGCGGCUUGUCACGUCGGUUGUGAAAGCCCGGGGCUUAACCCCGGGUCUGCAGUCGAUACGGGCAGGCUAGAGUUCGGUAGGGGAGAUCGGAAUUCCUGGUGUAGCGGUGAAAUGCGCAGAUAUCAGGAGGAACACCGGUGGCGAAGGCGGAUCUCUGGGCCGAUACUGACGCUGAGGAGCGAAAGCGUGGGGAGCGAACAGGAUUAGAUACCCUGGUAGUCCACGCCGUAAACGGUGGGGCACUAGGUGUGGGCAACAUUCCACGUUGUCCGUGCCGCAGCUAACGCAUAAGUGCCCCGCC